AUUGAACGCUGGCGGCAGGCCUAACACAUGCAAGUCGAACGAGUGGCGGACGGGUGAGUAAUGUCUGGGAAACUGCCUGAUGGAGGGGGAUAACUACUGGAAACGGUAGCUAAUACCGCAUACCACAGUUUGGGCCCGACGGGGAUUAGCUUGUUGGGGGGGUAACGGCUCACCAAGGCGACGAUCCCUAGCUGGUCUGAGAGGCUGACCAGCCACACUGGGACUGAGACACGGUCCAGACUCCUACGGGAGGCAGCAGUGGGGAAUAUUGCACAAUGGGCGCAAGCCUGAUACAGCCAUGCCGCGUGUAUGAAGAAGGCCUUCGGGUUGUAAAGUACUUUCAGCGGGGAGGCGUUACCCGCAGAAGAAGCACCGGCUAACUCCGUGCCAGCCGCCGCGGUAAUUC
rnacentral:rRNA from 1 species